GACGUAGGGGGCCAGCGUUGUUCGGAAUUACUGGGUGUAAAGGGUUCGUAGGCGGUGCGGCAAGUUGGGAGUGAAAUCUCUGGGCUUAACCCAGAGGCUGCUUCCAAAACUGCUGUGCUUGAGUGUGGGAGAGGCGCGUGGAAUUGCAGGUGUAGCGGUGAAAUGCGUAGAUGUCUGCAGGAACACCCGUGGCGAAAGCGGCGCGCUGGACCACUACUGACGCUGAGGAACGAAAGCUAGGGGAGCAAACAGG
rnacentral:rRNA from 1 species